rnacentral:rRNA from 1 species
UACGUAGGAGGCGAGCGUUGUCCGGAGUUACUGGGCGUAAAGCGUGCGCAGGCGGUUGUGCAAGACAGAUGUGAAAUCCCCGGGCUCAACCUGGGAACUGCAUUUGUGACUGCACGGCUGGAGUGCGGCAGAGGGGGAUGGAAUUCCGCGUGUAGCAGUGAAAUGCGUAGAUAUGCGGAGGAACACCGAUGGCGAAGGCAAUCCCCUGGGCCUGCACUGACGCUCAUGCACGAAAGCGUGGGGAGCAAACAGG